UCGGGCGUGGUGCACGGCAUACGCUCAAUCCUUCUGCUUGUCUCCUCGUGAAGGUUGAAAGGGAGAGGUCCGGGUUCGAUUCCCGGCGGCCGAA